CAAAGCUGGACCAAAGGCUACCCUAGCAAGUAGCAACCCAGCUAAGCUGUUGCAUGCAUGGCAAGAGGUCUGCUCACACAACAGAACUCUUCCCCUUCUCCUUCCCCAAUGUCUCUGUGGCCCUCCAGAUGGACUCCAACUCCCGUCAGCCCUGGCCUGCAUGGUGAAUGGUGAGGGAUGAUAUGUUGUAGUGCAACAAUGUGUGGGUAGCCACAGAUGCCCCACCCAUAGUCAAAGGGCAAGAGUCUUAUUACAAAUGCAAUUAUUCCUGAGUUCGAUUCCCAGACAAUUCUCAUGCAGCCACAAAAACAGAAAUCACACCUUCACUGUUCAGAUAGGCUGCAGGUCAAUGAUAGUGCAGAUGAUUUAACUUUGGAAGAUCUUGGGUUCAAUCCCUAGCAAUCCAACCAGAGCUAGGAAAGGCUCUGUCUGAAACCCCAGAGUACUACUCAGUGUCAGUGUAGACUAUACAGAGCUAAACAGGCUAAUAGCUUGUGUUGGUAUAAGGUAGAUUCCUAUGUUCCUAACCUCCACAGCACAAAUGUGGGUUAUUUCUUCUAUGAGAAUUACAACAUAGUUUCAAAAGUGUCAACUCAAUUGGUCUCAACCAAUCAUGAACCAUGCAAUAUACAAGAUGCUGUUGCAAUCGGAUUUGACUAUGUGUUGAUGUCAUUCAGGAGAUGUCAAAGGAAAUAAAAGUAAAAGCAAAGGAAGGAACAAGUAAAUGUUUUUUCAAUGAGCUUAAAGGAGGGGGAGAAAUGGGAGAUGAUUUCAGGACUUCUGAAAAUGCUCGUGAAAAUCAUGAAGUAAGGUAAAGAACCCCUUGAGUGUUAAGUCCAGUCAAAGGUGACUAUGGAGUGUGGCGCUCAGCUCGCUUUCAGGCCACGGGAGCCGGCAUUUGUCCACAGACAGCUUUCUGGGUCAUGCGGCCAGCAGGAAUAAACCGCUUCUGUCACAACAGGACACCGUGAUGGAAGCCAGAGCACACAGAAAUGCUGCUUACUUUUCCGCUGCAGCUGUACCUAUUUAUCUACUUGCACUGGCGUGCUUUCGAACUGCUAGGUUGGCAGGUGCAGGGACCGAGCAACGGGAGCUCACCCCGUUGCAGGGAUUCAAACUGCUGGCCUUCUGAUUAGCAAGCCCAAGAGGCUCAGUGGUUUAGACCACAGCGCCACCUGCAUCCCUUAUGAAGUUCAUAUGUGCAGCUGAAUUUGUCUCUGCUCUGUGAUUAUUAUGGUAACAACUGUCUACGUCUCUUGUCUCUUGGAAAAAGAUAAAAAGUGUUACAUUGAGGAAAUGCUAGUGUAAUGUGUGAGCUUUAUAAUAUAUAUCAAGUCUUUAACUAGUUUAUAAGGGGGGGUCAGUUAAUUUUUUAAAAUAACGAACAUCGGCGGCAUCAAGAAGCCUCGUGUUUAUGACUCUCCUUAAGGAAGCACAGGCCAAAUAAAAAUGCAAUAAAACUCUUUCUCUCCUAAUAGGGGAUAUAAUUGGAAAGAAUCUCCAAGGGAUUUUGCUUGCUCCUUCUACAUAAAACCCUAUUAAUGGCUGAUCCCAGAACAAAGAUACAUUUCUAGUGAUCCCUUACCCCUAAUCCAUCCAGCUCUCUCCCUGGUGGGAACACAGGUGCUCAGACACGUUAAGAACCUCUUUCUUUUGUAAGGAGCCUGUAACGGAUAAGACCCAGGCAUAGUGUAGAGAUGGAAAUUGGUCCACAAGGCAGGGAAAUGAUCCUUUUCUGUAGGGAGCAAAAGAUAUAUGAUCCAAAUGAAGAGAAACGUUGGGGGCGGGUGGAGAGAAAGAAAGCUUUGUGUAAAAUAGAAUUUUGUCAGGGUGUUUUUGUUUUUAAAAGCCGCCACUAUUGUUGUUUUAAAAUGGGGUAGUAAGUGUGCUUUCUGCCACCAUGCAUAGCAAGUCAUAAGGCUCAGAAAGCCUAGGCAUAGGAACUCAGGGAGCUCCCUUGUACUACAGUGGUACCUCGGGUUACAUACGCUUCAGGUUACAGACUCCGCUAACCCAGAAAUAGUACCUCGGGUUAAGAACUUUGCUUCAGGGUGAGAACAGAAACCGUGCUCUGGCAGCAGGAGGCCCCAUUAGCUAAAGUGGUGCUUCAGGUUAAGAACAGUUUCAGGUUAAGAGCGGACCUCCGAAACAAAUUAAGUACUUAACCCGAGGUACCACUGUACACUGUGUUGUUGUAACCCACCCUGGGACCUUAUGGUGAAGGAUGGGAAAUAAAUCUUACAAAUAAAUAAAGGAUAUUAAUCUGGAUUGUCUCAGAUUCAGACCUCUUCCACAAACCCACCUCUCUCUAAGAAUAUAAUUUGCAUGCUCAGAAAAGUGGUGCUUCAGGUUAAGAACAGUUUCAGGUUAAGAACGGACCUCCAGAACAAAUUAAGUAUAUAACCAGAGGUACCACUGUAUUAUUGACACAGUCCAACCAUGUUUAUCCAGGAUUUCAGGCAUUUUCCCCCAGCCCUACAUGGGGAUCAAACCUGGGACUUUCUGAAUGCAAGGCAGAUGUUCUACCACCGAUCUCUGGCCUUUCCCAGGAAAUGCCUGCUGCAUUGCUUGCCAUGCAUUCGCAUUCAACUCACGUGCACCACAGAAUACAGGUUGUCAGGGAGACCUCUAGUCUGGAACCCUACUUUCCCUGGUGUGCUAGCUUUCUUUGUGCAGGCUUCCCGCAGGCAUCUAGCUGACUGCUAUGAGGACAGAGUGCUAGACUAGAUGGGCCUUUGGCCUGUUCUAGCAGGGCUCUUAUGUCAGGGGGCUGGGGGGCUGAAUAAUGGCAGAGUAGGGCAAUGAGAUGUGGGUGGCACUGUGGGUUAAACCACAGAGCCUAGGACUUGCUGAUCAGAUAGUUGGCGGUUCAAAACCCCGCGACGGGAUGAGCUCCCGUUGCUCAGUCCCUGCUCCUGCCAACCUAGCAGUUCGAAAGCACAUCAAAGUGCAAGUAGAUAAAUAGGUACCACUCCGGCAGGAAGGUAAACGGCAUUUCUGUGCGCUGCUCUGGUUCGCCAGAAGCAGCUUAGUCAUGCUGGCCACAUAAAGCGAGAUGAGCGCCGCAAUCCCAGAGUCGGUGAUGACUGGACCUAAUGGUCAGGGGUCCCUUUACCUUUACCUUUAGGGCAAUGAGAUGGAGUAUCCCAUUGAGAAGUUGGCAUCAACAGUUCUUGAUUGUCUGUUUCUAAUGGCUCAAUCCCAGCAUAAGGAAGUUUACAUAAUGCAGUUUUUGAAUAGAAGUUGAUUUUCUCUUUUUAUUGGUGUGUGUGUGUGUGUGUGUUGUCUAUGUUCAGGUCAGGAUGGAUUGCUUUAAAUAGUUGGGAUUGCUAAGGUAUUAGAGCAUGAGCUUCAUGAGUUUGAGCCCAACAUUGGGAAAAAGGAUCCUGCAUUGCAGGGGGUUGGACUAGAUGACCCUCGUGGUCCCUUCCAACUCUACAGUUCUAUGACUCAGUGAUCCUGGAAAAGGGUGUGUUCUGGCUGGCUGGAAUCCUAAACAGGAAUUCUUCUCACUGCAACAUUCUGUUACAGGUCCCACUUGUUAGAUUGUUAAAAAAAGGCGGAAGAAACACGUUUCCCAUUGAAGAGAGUGAAUUUGCAGCAUGAUCCAAUUAGAAGAGCUGCUUGUUGGGUAAUCAAGAGAGCUGCUGAUAAAGAUACUCAGAAAGACAGAG